CGGGCGUCACGUGACGCCCGAGAAAAGUAGGGGAAAGGUUACGGCGAGCCCCGACCCCGGCCUGGCGCGUCCCGGGCGCUCAGAUCCUGUUCCACCGGCAGUGCCCGGAGAGACCUUCCGGAGCGAGCUGGCGCGUCGCCGGCCCUGCCACCCCGGCGUCAGCGGGCGAAACGCGGUGCCUGUUCCUGGGGAAGGCCGAGCCCUGCGUGGCCAACCUUGGGGACACUUAAGAGCAGAGGGCGCCUGAGGACAUUCCACGCCAGGAACGCGGCACUGCGCCCCCGCGAGCCCAGAGCGCGUCUGGAAAGGGCUCGCUGCGCAGCCCGAGGAAGCAUUAACGGUGUUUCUAUGAAUGGGCAGGCGAGGCCGGGGUUGCCCAAGCGCGGGCUCGGGCCCCAGGGCUCCCCGGAGACUGAGGCUUGACCGCUUGGUGACCGCGGGGUCGGGGCCAAGGGCGGCAGGGACGCCAGGUUCUCCUCUUCGCCUCCGCUUGUUUUCAGUACAAACUCGAAAAGUUAUUUUGGCCUGGGCGUGAUGCUGAUGGCUGCCACUCGGAUGCACACACGCGCACUCCUAAAGAUGGCCCUUUUUGCUGUCUGAUUCCAUCAGCUGUUCAGAUGGAGUUCAACGUGCAAGGUCAGGUCUAGCAACAUUUCCUUGGAAGGAAACCGGUCAUUUAGGUGCGAGAAGAGCCCCCCCCCGGGCACACCGAAGCCAAACCACCCAAAACCCUGCCUCUCGAUGCUGCAUUCAGUUCCCACCAGACACCAUGGUCCCAGAUGACUUAGCUAGGCACUCCUUCACCUCAACGAUAAGCAUAUCAGCAACAGUAAUGUCCUUAUACUUACGCCCCACUCAGUGCGAGUCACCUUAAAUACUUUGGGGUGGGGGAGGGGGGAUGCUGGCUGGCGUCAAUCCAAGACCAGCGAGUUCGGCCAUUUUUUAUUCAUUUGGUUUGUGGUUCACGAGGAAAGAAACACGCUUGAAUAUCUGGACUGACCAGAAACAGGACGCCUGUGCAAGAAAAUUGUGUAACAAAAUACAAAGUCUGUCCCGAGUUGGGAGUAUUAACCUGGUUAAUUACUUGGGAUUUUUUUUAACUCCUGGAGUGAAAAAAGGAAACCGGCCCUCAUCUUUGUCCCCUUCGGCUGUAAGGAAAGCCAGCCCCCGAUUUACAUUACAAACACGCUGACCCACGGCCCUUCCGAAGAAAACGAAAGAACUGGCUGUCGGCUCGCCGAGGGAGUUGGGUCAGGGGAUGCCCGCGUCGGUGCCCCGGCCGCUCGGACGACCUGACCGCGCCGUCCAGACUCGCACACCAAGUUCGCCCGGAUUUGGUCACAUGACGCCCCCCACCCCCACACCCCCUCCGGCGCCGCAGCUCCGUGGCCCGGCGCGACCUUGGGCGGACUCUCCGCGCCCACCUGCCCUGAUGAGCGCCGCACCGGGGCAUGGGGAGCGCUCGCCAGAAGAGACCCCGGGCCGGCACCCCCAUCCGGUCCACGGCGGGCGCUCGGACCGCGCCAGGAGUCUCCACGCCAAGGGCGUGUCCGGACCGCAGCACUGCGGGGGCAGGCGCGGGGAGGGGUCCGCGGCGCCCCGCGGAGUCCCGACGGCCGAGCGUCCCUCUGGCUCCCGCAUGGGACUCGCCUGCGGGCUGACCGACUCUCGGACUGACCCCUAGACCCAAUACUGCAGAGCGGGACGCCUGAAUAUGCAAACGAGAGCAUUGGCAGCAGCCUUCUGGUCAAGAUGCAGAUUCUUCCCCUUUGGAGGAGAAGGAGACAAGCAGGGCUGUCUGGGUGCUGGCUCUGGGCCACUGUGUGGGUUGCACACCCAUGAAGCCAGUCCUGUCUCCAGGGCAGGCCCGCAAGACCCUUCAAGAUCUGGACCCAAAGGACCACCCCAGCCUGUGUUUACCACCUCAACGAACUCUGUGCUCCUUCCUCUCAAGACCUCGCCCCGCUUCCCACCUCUGGGCGCCUGUUCUCUUCCCGAUGCCCGGGCACCUCAUGUCUUUGUUCCCAGCCGUGGGCUGGCUGCCAGGAAGGGAGAUGGGGUAAACCAGACCCAGCCCUGACGCUCCCGAGAAGAUGCUCGGAGGGUAUCUGCGUUCUGGCUCCUCUGUGGCCCCGCCCAGCGGUGAGGCCCAGAGCAGGUAAAUUUUCUUCUGUUGCAAAAUGGGCAGUAAGGAGGAUGCUGCCAAGUCCACAUGGGGCCCUCCCUCUGUAAAAGUCUCCUAACAUAUGACUCAUGGAUACCAUUAAAUCCAUCCUUUUAAAGUGUAAA